UAAAAAGUUAUUUAUUUUAGGUAGUAACAGAUUACUUAAAACCUAAAGAAUUUGGCGGUAUUUUAAAUAAUUAGAGGAACCUGUUAAUUAAUUGAUAAUCCACAACAAAUCUUACCUAAAUUUUAUUUGUAUAUCGUUGUUCUCAGAUUAUAUUUUAAGAUUAUAAUCGAUAAUAAUUAAAUUUUUUAUAUCAAAUCAAGGUGCAGUAUGUUUAGGGUUUAAUGGGUUACAAUAUAUUUAUAUAUAACGGAUUAGAAAUGAAAAUAUCCCUUAAGGUGGAUUUAAAAGUAAUUUAAAAUUAAAAAGUUUAAAUGAAUAAAAAUUUAAAAUAUGC
rnacentral:rRNA from 1 species